CUUUACAGCCGCCCACAGCAAACAUUUAUAGAUUAAGACACAGACCUCAGACACACAGUGAGUCAGGAAGUGUUUUUGGUGUCUCAGCCUUCAUAUAGUGUUGAUACAACAAUGCAAGACUGUCAUGGAUACCGUGUUUCCAUCUCUGGAGCUCUGAUGUUGGUGAUUCUUCAAGGUGUGUGCACUGUUUUAGCUGAUACAAAUACAGAGAUGGUGCUUAAAGGUGGGAGCUCCCUGGAUCUAACACUGACAUAUCCAAAGAAUUCACUGACAACUGUUAAGUGGAACUUUAAUGGCACAAAUUUUGCUGACUACUAUCCAAGCCGGAAUUACACAUUUCGGGCAUCUCAAUUUAGUGGAAGAUUAAAAGGUUUCAUUGAUAAAAUUGGAGUAACUCUAAAAGAUCUUCAACCCCACGACUCUGGAACAUUCUCAGUUGUUGCAGUUGGACCUGAAGGACAGUAUCCUACACAGGAUAUUAAAGUUUAUAUUGAAAUUUUUACACACUCAUUCAGACCCCAUAACACUGAACUGCACUGCAGCUAACAACGUCAGCUCCAGUUCUGCUACAGAGACACUGAGCUGUAGCGCUGAACAUCCCAGAACAGAAGCUCCGUUGUCAGUGCUUAAACUGAUCAGUAGUCUAGUGGCAGCCUCUCCGUAUCUGUUGGUGACCAUCAUCCUGGGUGUAAAAUGUUACAGAGCUCGGGGUCAUCAUAACAGGCAGUAUGCUGUAACUGUAAUUGAGGAAUAAACACUUGGCUCUCUGUGGUUCCCAUGUCACAGAUUUACAGUUUAUUGAAGCUGAAAAAAAAUUACUCUGUUUAAAAUAUCUUGCAUAGUUUUAUUUUUAAAUGUUUUUUUUAUUUACACUCAGAUCUCAGGGGCACAGAAUGUACAGCAUUACUGUUCUUAUGUUUGCAGUUUUCUGGAUUGAAUGUUGGAGCUUCUCUUCUAGGUUAGGGGUCACAACACUGUGUGCCCUUAUGACUGCUUGGAAAACUCAAUUUUCACUCAUCUUCAACCUUUCAGUUCCUCUUCCAACCCCUUGUAUUUCACCAGAUUCUUGUAUUUCUUCAUUUGUAUGUUGCCAUCAUUUGACUGCCAAAUCUAUUACAACUGCAGUAUUCUGGUCCUUUUCUAUUCUCACCAUCUGUUUGUUUAUCUGGCUGUAUCUGGAGGACACACUGGAUUUUUGUUUUCUUUUGUUUUCUUCUGCUCCCUGUGAUUCCUCUCAUCAGGAGAUAGUACUGUCCAAACCAUAUUCAUGUUUAUCUGUCCCUGUACACAAUCCCCACUAUGUUUACUGCAGUUAAAAUCAUAAUGUGUUGUAAUAGAUUAAAUGUAAUCUGGUUUGUGUAAUCUGAUCAAGGAGUUGUGAACAGAGGAGUAUUUUAAUGUCCGAGUAUCUUUAUAUUUAUAUAAUAUGCUUCAUUACAUUUUUGGAUAUCACUCUGACUGAGAGAACAUUUUAUUUUAGAAAAAGAGAAAGCAGGAGGGAGAGGGGAAGCAUUUGUACUUUUAAAGUAAAAUGUUUAUUCUCUAACUAUUCUCUGGAUUUGGCCUUGAUAUCUGUUUCUGGACUGUUGUGAAUGACCUCUGGACAGUUUCUGACUCUAAUUUUGUAUACUGGACUCUUGUAUUUAUUAAUAAACCUCCAGGACAUGGAUCCUCACACAU